CCAGCCCUGAGCCAGAAGAAGCAAGAGAGAGAGAAUGAUUUCCAGAAUGUGGAGGGGAAAGAGUCAGGCAGAAUUCCUCUGCAGGAAGCAGCAACUGGCUGAAGAGAGGGGUCAAGAGUCCUACGAUGUAUUUCAUCAUCAUUGCUUCACCCUGUGUGGACAGAGACAGCAUGCAGAGUGUCCUUGGGAUAUACCGGUCUACCCAGACACCAAAAGGGAUGUACAGAUCCACAGUGGCAGCAGGCACGUGAGAAUCAGGCUGACUGCCCAGGCCUCCGUUUAUACCCUGAAUGAGCUCGGUGCUCCUUGUGACCUUGGUGAUGUUUGUAGCUUUCCAGCUUCAGUUUUGACAACUGCAAAAUGAGAUCAACAAUCCCAACUACUUAACGGGGUUCUUUAGAAUAUGUAUGUGCGAGAUUUUCCUUGGUCUUAACACAUAGUAACCACUUGAUAAAUUGAAAUUAAAAAGGCUUAGGAUGUGUUUCCAGCACAUACCGAGUACCGUUCCCAUGCUGGGCGUUGGGACUAUAUUGGUGGAAGUUAGUUACGCAUCAUCCUGACUCCAGAGAUAUUAGAGCUCACAAACUACUCCCAUAGGGAAUUGUUCCACCUGUUUCUGGUACUCAGGGUCCCAUCAGCCCCAUAUUAUUCAUCUCCUGAGAACACAAGCUCUGUGAACAAGCUCCUUUACUAUAAUUCUUGCAUGAAUUCCUCUUGCCAUCCUGAUGUUGGAAAGUAAUGUUCUUUAAAAUCUUCCUUUUGUGUUUAUUCCCUGAGGACUGAAGGCCUGGCCAGCAUUGUGCAGGCUAUGAAAAAUCGAUACAUUCUGUUCUGAGUGUCCCCAGAGGGAGUUAUGCCCUGCUCCAUCAAUUUACUGGACCACAUUAAAGCCCUAAAUCAAAAUACUGACAAGUCUUUUCCAUUGUUGGGGAUUUUACCAGGCUAAAGAGCUGC
ensembl:lncRNA